rnacentral:lncRNA from 1 species
UUUUUAGUUUAAAUUUUUAGAUUUAUCUUUCAAAAAAUUCUAACAAUUUCAAAUAUAUUUCUAUUGUUAGUGUUCGUUAAAACAAAUAUAAUUAGCCGUAAGUAAAAUACUUAAUUUUGGUUAAUAAGUGAGAUAAAUUAACUUUUUUGCUUCUAUGAUAUUAUAACUUCUUCUCUCCAUAAAACUAUAGCAAUGAAUUUUUUUUGCUUUUCCUCGUUCUUUUUCUUUUUCGCACUAAUUUUGAAUCCGUAACUAGAAUUUUUCUGUCCGUGUUGCUUCGCUCAUGUUGAGCGCCGGGUGGAUUAAUUUGAUAUAUUUUAGGUUGAUGUUUUGUUAAUUUAUUUAUUUUUAAUAUAGUUUAUUGAAAAUUUUUAAUUUUUUAUAUUAUUUUUUUUAUUUUGCUCAAAAGAAAAAGUUUAAGAGAGAAAUGUUAGAUGUGGCUUACGUGAUUUAUUUAAGGCGAUUUAUAAAGAUACAGUUAGUCUAUUCAAGUCGAUUUAUAAAUAUACAGUAGAUCUAAUAGUUAGGAUGUAUCUGAACACGUUCUUAAUGGACGAACAUGAUUUAACAUCCUUAUAUUAAGUUAUAUAUAAAUAUGUAAUAUACGGGAGUCCCGGUCUAAUCCUAAUUCAAUUUUCUGUGACGGCUCCAUCUUCGGAGGUAAAGGAAUUAGACUCGAAACUUUCUGCUCUCUUGCAGAUCACGAACGAGGACAAACCACGAACAAAAACCGUCGCCAACAAAUUAGGUACAGAAAUCAAAAUUAUAGCAGAAGGUAGAACCUUAGUUUCUAAUAAAAUUUUAAUAUUUGGUAUCAGAGCAACAUCUUUCGCGAAAUUUUCGUUUCU